rnacentral:rRNA from 1 species
UUACUAGUCUGAUAAGGCCAUAUGCUGUAAAAAUUUAAAUAUAUUAAAACUUUCAACAACGGAUCUCUUGGCUCUCGCAUCGAUGAAGAACGCAGCGAAAUGCGAUAAGUAAUGUGAAUUGCAGAAUUCAGUGAAUCAUCGAAUCUUUGAACGCACAUUGCGCCCUUUGGUAUUCCUUAGGGCAUGCCUGUUCGAGCGUCACUAAAAACCCCCUCACAGAUAAUGUGGUAUUGGUAGAAGUUGAUAGUACUAACACUACUUUGUCUGACUCUACUGAAAUUAAUAGGCCAGAGAAGUGGACUAUGGUAAUAGACUUCAUUUAUUGUUUUAAAACGCUAAAUUAGUCUUCUCCAAGUCAUGUUCUGAGCCAUUGGACCCCCCAUUUAGUCCAAACAAGAGAGGUUGACCUCGGAUCAGGUAGGGAUACCCGCUGAACUU